AACUUUCAACAACGGAUCUCUUGGUUCCGGCAACGAUGAAGAACGCAGCGAACUGCGAUAAGUAAUGCGAAUCGCAGAGCCUUAGUGAGUCAUCGAAUUUUUGAACGCACAUUGCGCCCGCCAGCCAUUCUGGCGGGCAUGCCUGUUCGAGCGUCGUUUCA
rnacentral:rRNA from 1 species